UCUUGGACUUCCGGCCUCCAGAACCGUGAGAUAAUACAUUUCUGGUUUCUGUUGCUUUAACUCCCCCCGUUUGCGGUACAGCAGCCGGGAGAACUGGCUCACCACCCUCACUGCAAAUGUGGGCAGAGAAAAUCAAAAGCUCCGCCCCAGCUCUGUGUGUGGGCGGCCGGGGAGACCUGAGCAGGGGUUUGUGCUGCCGGCCACACCGGGGAGGCCGCGGGGUGCCCGGCUACGGCCCGGAGGCCAGAAACAGGGCCCAUCCUCGUGGCUGCCGCUGUCCAUCGUUUUCCUGAUUCUGUGCGAGGCUGGGAUGACAGGGCCUCUUCAACCUGAAGAUGUAAAUCAGGAAGUGUGAAAUGCUGAGAGUCGUGCUGCUGCUCGCAGACACCCGAGUCAUCGCCAGGUCUCCGGAAACAGCCAGGCGUCAGGCGCACGCGGAUCAUCGCCCUGAAGAAACCGGGGAUUGGCUUUUCCGCCUGUAAAGGAUGAUACGGGAUUUAGGGUUCAAGUUUUGGAGCAUCCAUUUCUAGUCUGAAACCAACUCACCAUGUGCUCCCGGUUAAGUCCCCGGAGACCUUGCUGAGCUGCAGCCUUCUCACCUCUGAAAUGGGGUGUUAGGGAGGGAAAGGGGCGAUGGGAUUAUGGGCGGUGGUCUGUGUCCCAGGGAUAACUGGCAUCUGCGGCCCAGGGUUCGUGGACAGUACACUGUGACAUGCUGUCAUUAGGCGCUGAGCUCCGCUCUCAGGUGCUGGGCUGUGUCAUGGGGACGAAGGGCCCUGGAGGGCUAUCGGCCCAGCAGAAGCAAGGGGCUGGGAGGGUCAGCCACAGGAGAGCAGGAGCUGAUUCCAGGGCAGUUAGCAGAGGGCACCCCUCGAAUCUGACGUCCUAAACUCCCCAGGAGCUCAGGGCACGAAAGAGACGUCACUCACAGCAGGACUGGGCUGGGUGCACACAGAGGCUUGGAGGCAAGUUCGAAAGAGACGUGCAGGCAUGUGCUAGUCAAACAGCAACCCCGAGCUGUGUUGGGUCUCCCCCUUCAGGGUACCCUGAACCCUGGCUGUUUUAAAUGAAUAUCACUUGAGAAUAAAAAAUGGCAGCGUCCAG